rnacentral:rRNA from 1 species
AGAGUUUGAUCCUGGCUCAGGAUGAACGCUAGCGGCAGGCUUAAUACAUGCAAGGCGAGGGGGCAGCAAUGUCACCGUCGUACGGGUGCGUAACGCGUAUGCAACCUACCUUUUACUGGGGGAUAGCCCGGGGAAACCCGGAUUAAUACCGCAUAAUACAUCAGUAUCACCUGAUAUUGAUUGUUAAAGAUUUAUUGGUAAAAGAUGGGCAUGCGUUCGAUUAGCUAGUUGGCAGGGUAACGGCCUACCAAGGCGACGAUCGAUAGGGGAGCUGAGAGGUUGAUCCCCCACACGGGCACUGAGAUACGGGCCCGACUCCUACGGGAGGCAGCAGUAGGGAAUAUUGGGCAAUGGAUGCAAGUCUGACCCAGCCAUGCCGCGUGCAGGAUGAAGGCGUUCUGCGUUGUAAACUGCUUUUAUCUGGGAAGAAACCUGAGUAUUCUUAUUCAGCCGACGGUACCAGAUGAAUAAGCACCGGCUAACUCCGUGCCAGCAGCCGCGGUAAUACGGAGGGUGCAAGCGUUAUCCGGAUUCACUGGGUUUAAAGGGUGUGUAGGCGGAUAUUUAAGUCAGUGGUGAAAUCUCCAGGCUCAACCUGGAAACUGCCAUUGAUACUAUUUAUCUUGAAUUCUGUUGAGGUGGGCGGAAUACAUCAUGUAGCGGUGAAAUGCUUAGAUAUGAUGUAGAACACCGAUUGCGAAGGCAGCUCACUAAACAGAUAUUGACGCUGAGGCACGAAAGCGUGGGGAUCAAACAGGAUUAGAUACCCUGGUAGUCCACGCCGUAAACGAUGUCAACUAGCCGUUGGGAGCCUUGAGCUCUUAGUGGCGCAGCUAACGCAUUAAGUUGACCGCCUGGGGAGUACGGCCGCAAGGUUAAAACUCAAAUGAAUUGACGGGGGCCCGCACAAGCGGUGGAGCAUGUGGUUUAAUUCGA